UAUUAAGUAGCUCAGGAGGAAGAGCAUCGAAUUUUUUCGAAGGUCAUGGGUUCGAGUCCCAUCUUAAUAA
rnacentral:tRNA from 1 species